rnacentral:rRNA from 1 species
UACGUAGGGUGCAAGCGUUGUCCGGAAUUAUUGGGCGUAAAGAGCUCGUAGGCGGUCUGUUGCGUCGGCUGUGAAAACCCGGGGGCUCAACCCCGGGCCUGCAGCCGAUACGGGCAGACUAGAGGUAGGCAGGGGAGAGCGGAACUCCUGGGUGUAGCGGUGGAAUGCGCAGAUAUCAGGAAGAACACCGGUGGCGAAGGCGGCUCUCUGGGCCUUACCUGACGCUGAGGAGCGAAAGCGUGGGUAGCGAACAGG